AGGUCCUUCAGGAAAGAAACAAAAUGAGAAAAAAAGCCAGGGUCACAGGAAUGCAAAGAGACCCAUCUGUCCAGUACACCUCCCCUCCUUCCUCCCAAGAAGGUCCUCUAGGCUAUGUAGAGGCGGGGUGCCGGGCACUUCCUUCUCAUGCAGAGGGCAUGUGACACUGGCAAGCUGAGAAAAUAUUACCUGAUUAUUUUCCAUCUCAACAGGAGAAAUGAAGGAUGGGAUGUCUCCCUUUGCAGACAACCCACUAGGAAGUAAGAAGGGUUUCAGGGUCUUGCCUGAGAUGGAACUAGAUGGUAACACUCCUCCCAAAAGAGCUACUAAUGCCCAGUGGGAUUUGAAAAGUAGUCUAUGAACCAGAUUUUAAAGAGCCAAAGAAAGCACCUGCAUUUGGUAAACCAUAGUCGAGCAAUCUUAGGAAUCUCUGUUAGAUCUCAUUUGAAAGCAAUGUUGCCCAGAGCUGAUUGUGAUACCCUAACGUUCGACCUAGCCAGUGGUCUGAUCUUAACAUCAUAGGAUUUCCAAGGCCCUCAGCACCUCAACCUCAUUCAUAAUCUGAUGAAAUGCUGUAUUCUCUCCUUAGGUCGUACUUAAAAAUGUGAAACGUCUCUCCGUAGACAACACCGGAUACCAAACUUUGGCAAGAGGAAGGUUCAGAAAGAUUAGGCUUUCUCCAGCCAAACAGGACAUACCAAACUGAGGAGAAGCCACUCUGGACACCUUAUCUGAGGAUUCUUUCAAGGCCCCUGGCUUCGGUGAAGCUGCAGAAGGCUUGGACUUCCCAUCGGCCUUCUUGACAGGUAUUACAGGACCAUUGGAUGCUCACAGGCCAAGUGUCAGAGCUGCUGGCCGGGCAAUAGUUCCACACCGCCCGAGGUGAGACAGUCUAUGCUUCUCCACCCUGAGGGUUGUGUGCUCAAAUCUGUGUGUCGGGGAUAGUCAGCCACUCGCUCUUUUUAUGUGAAGAAGGUGAUCACCGAGAUCAAGGAGAAGGUAAACAAAUUUGAGGAAACCCUCCCUGCUUUCCUUCCCGUCUUUUCACCUCUACCCAGAGAGUUUCUAUGACAUGAAGGAAAUGACUCCAAAGAAACAAGGCUGUGCUGGAUUCUGAGGACGUCGAGGGCACUGAAAACCAGCAAAGAGGCUGGUGAGUGGAAAACUAUGACGUAUGUACAAGGGAAAGCAGAAAGGAAAGUCAGCCCUGCCUGCUGAACAGGUUUCUCUUCAGAGAAGGACAGUCCAGUUGUCUGGGGAAGCAACAGGGUGAUGUGCGUGAGACAAGAACACCGCUGCCGCCUGGAGAGCGCCCAUCACGAAGGAGGCGGACGGAAAGGGUCGGGGGCGGAGGGAGGAGGAACACCUUCGAUGGCCUUGGAGCAGCGCAGCAGAAACAAAGCCCGACCUCACCCCAGAGCCUGCUUCCAGACCUGUGUGGCCGAGGGCCUCAAGGGCAAAGGCCGGUCUCACGAGAGCCUGUUCAAUCCAUGCUUAUUCAAGGAACAGAUGAGAGCAACAAGGAGGCUCCAACAGUGGGAGCAACAGGAGCAGUUUCCACAAGGAAACUGUGGGUGGUGCUUGGACUUGGAAACUGAGGCUUCCCCGUCAAAGAGUUUGGAAACCAUCAUCCGUAAAUGGUAGUUAGGAGAGCCCAUUAUACUGAAAGUCCCUGAAGAGGAAGUAUCACAUCUCCAUCUCCGCGUCAUUGUCAUCUCUGUCUCCCCAGGACAUCAUCAAGCACCAUGGAUGUUUGCGGAAUUGCUCUGAACUUGGCCAUUUCAACGUGCUGCCCUUCUGAAGUGGACACUAGGUAAGUGAGCAGAGCCUGUUAAUACUUCUCAAGCACGCUGACUGCUACGCUCCCCUUCUUCUUACAAAGAGGGAUGGGAGACCAGACUGCAAGAAAUAUUGCUUGGGGCAAAGAUAGCCUUUUUGUUAAUCACCGUUUCUAAUUAAAUGCAGGCAUACUGGAAGAGGAAGGAAGAUAUAGGAAAUAAAUGACUUUACGGCAGAUAAUAUUAAUGAAAUAAGAUUUGAAUUUCUCAACCAUAGCCUACUAACCACAUUUCCGUUUUGAUUGGAUUACUUGCGUGGCUAAUGAGGAAAUACAACAGACAGUGGAGCUCUGGGUUUUAGCAAGAUGGUUAACAGGAUCUCUGAACAGGGUGAGAGUGGAACUAGGUGGAUCUGUAGCCAGCCAUAUAAAUCCUGCUGCUUCAUGUCCACCUGGAGGGGGUCUGCGAUGGGCUCAUUUACGUCCUGUCGAGGAGACUUGAAUGGAAGUGGUGAAGGCAUGCUUAUCCCAUCUGUGGAGGGCAUGAAAACAAGAGGCCUAGCAAAAGCGGAAUGGCAGAAGUAAGACGUUUGGGAAAGCUUUUGAAACCAGGAUGAUGAUGGCUACAUCAGCUCUAACAGGAGGCAUUCUAAAGGGGUAAGUGCAAGGUCCCAUAAGCCAGCUGGGAAGGCAGGAUUGGACGAUGUGGCUUAUCAACAAUAUCCAUGGGAAAGACUCCGGGAUUUCAGUUGAUGGUCAAGUGGAUUUAUCGCAAAGCUGAAGAAGCUUACAUUUCAAGGCUCCUCAGUGACCUGGUUCCCUCCCAAAGUCCUGUACUUAAUUGUCUAUUCAUAAUUUUGUUUUUCUUGAAGGGAACCCCUCAAACUAGGUUAAUUACAGAGCUCCUUAGAGCCUGCACCCCCUCUCCUCACUGACAUUUAAUUGUAGAUAGUAAUGGUCCAAAGUUACUCAGACUUAGUGAAUAGAAGAUUAUACUGAAAACUACAGAAGUCACUGACUCACAGUCCUAACCUGGUCAGUGACCCCUGGAGUAUGCUGUCCAGUGUGAGUCAUAACAUUUUAGAGAAACUGGACCAAAACCAAGUUGAAAUUGCUGGCUUCUUCUCCUUGGCGUUAACCUCUAAAUGCUAGACCUGGGCCCCUUUCUCUUCUAACACAUUUCUCCCUCUAGAUUACUUCAUCUAUUUUCUAACGUGCUGAUGGCUUCCACAUUAGUAUUUCCAGCCUGCUCUCAGCUCCCCGGGCUCUGGACUCCCACAUCUAACUGACUGAUAAUUCCAAGGCACGGAGAUAUGGCCAAGACCAUAUGGUUCUCACCUUAUCCCACCCCUCCUUCUGCCAGUGGAACAGGAUUGAAGGACGGUGACCAUAGAAAGUAAGGAAUUUUUAAUAUCUUGUUUUCUGAGGACCAGUGGGUAGAACCGAAAAUGUUUAAUCUGGGAGGGGAAAAAAAACUGGCCGCGCUGGUGAAAGGGUGUCUAAGACACUGUCAGGUGGAAAAGGGAUCACAUUAGUUCCUUGAAGAUAGGAUGAGACAAGGAAAAACUUUCUAACAAAGAGACUGAGAAAUGUCCCCAGGAGAUGGUGAUUUCACCAUCCUCAGAUUUCAGGGAGGGAGGGGGAGCCAGAGGACUGUUCUAGCUGUAGGUCCUGGUUUUGCAGUUCACCUCCAAAGACUAAAACUCCCAAAAGCUGAAGCUCAAAAUGCACUAAUAAUUUCUCAGCCAUUUACUUUUAGCUGUUCUUGUUAAACAAUGUGUCAUUCUUAUUUUUGCCAAAUUGUGCUUCUGGUUUCUCUGGUGUGACUAGUAUGUGUCAAGGACUAAAUAAAAGGAACAAACGUAGACACCAAAUGGCCUGGAAGAUCCCUUAGUUACUGAGUCAUUCUCUACUCAAAACCUUUUUCUAAGGCACCAAUAGGCUACGAUAGCGCUCGAUGACUGGUAACCACUGGCCGAAUCCAGGGGUUCCCAUACUUUGGCUGUGGCAUCCUUUCCUCAAAGUCCACAGUGUGAAAAAGGUCCAGGUGCUGUGGUCGGGACAAGGGGAAGAGAGGGUAGAACUGACCCUAGGUCUCCCCUUCUCUUGUCUCCCCCACCACCCUUGGCACCCCUGGUCUAGUCUGUAAGGGAAAACUCUAGAGAUCCUUUAAUGUGCGUUGAGAUUUACUUUCCCCAAAGUAUUGGGGUGGGGGUUAUGGAGCCAGUAGAGGAGACUAUGACAGAGCUGCUGGCUUACUGACCCCUGCCUCGAAGAAUGAAAAAUGUGUGCCCUUCCAAACCUGCCCGGUGAUUAGAACCCUGCACAGAACGCCAUUCUCCAGGUAAGGAUGUUUCCUUUUCUUCUAUAUUUAGGGGUAAAUUCUGAUCUAUGCACAUUCCGUGUGCCACAGUUCUAGUAAAGUGAUUUAAGCAUCACCACGCCUUAUUUGAAGCCAGAGAGCCAUUAUUUGAGGUCCAGAUGGGUGGAUGGUGAUACCUCUGUAUUUAAACUUCCAGCAAGACAAACCCUUUUCUUUCCAUAUGUCCUCUGCUCUAGUUAACUUCAAAAAAGACAAAGCAAUGACAUGGGGACAGAAACCAACCACAAGAAACCAGCUUCGGAAGUGCCCAGGAGGCAGGAGAGGCACCGCGUGCACCGAAGUCAGUGAGGGCUUAGGGCUAAGCCCCGCCUAGAACAAGCCAGUUCACCACCCACCCACAUCCUGAGCCAUGGGGCUGUGGCCAGGCCUCUGCAGCUCUCCCUUGCCCGGCGCAAGGUGCCAAUAGUGGGGUGACCUCCAGCUCCCCUACAAUGUUCCACUGUCCCGGGGACAGCAUGAACAUGCAGACACGACCUUGCAAACGAUUCUGACGUGACAGUGAUCACAUGCCCUUCUCGGGGCAGCAGGUGGAGUGAGGGCGAGAGCUCUAGCUGGGGACUCUCAAUGCACUUGAACCAGGUUUUCCCGGACCUUCCUACGUGUAGGUGCAAUGGAUAUGAGACAGGCGGCCCGAACUCCAGCAGCCUCGCAGGAAGAGAGGGUAGUCAGCACGGUGCCAGCUGCAAGGGAGCCCUGGGUCUUUCCUGCCAUGGGGCGCCUGGGCUGUCUGCCUUGGGGCCCAGAUGACAUCACACCUUCGGAAAGCUGGGGUUUCCGACGCCAAAUAAAACGUUCCUUUUUACUCCCCCCCGCCCAGUGAGUGGAAACUAGAAACAUGCUGAUGUCAUCUGACCAGGGUUUUUGAAAAGGCCCCCAGGUGAGCCUAAUGAGGCUGGGCAGCCUAUUUGCAGAUCUUGCCAGGGAUGGAAAGUGCACAGAGACCUCUCUCUGAGGCGCAGGGCCGAGGAAGAUUAAAUGCAGGAAAACAGAUGGCCCUUCCCAACACCCAUGAGACUAAGAGGCGGCCGUCUCAGGAAGUUCUCAGGAAGCUGGUUUUAAAUAGAUGUGGUAACUCCCCAUCAGUACAUCCUUCAAGCUCUCAGUGGAGAAAUCUGCUGUCAGCGAGGGCAGGCCCCACGCUGCUGUGUGACAGCCCUGAAUCGAUGUUCUAACUAGGAGAAAGAGGUGUGUAAUUUUGGAAAGAGAGGUGUCCCAACCAGACAUAUUCUGAAGCAGAAGUAACCAAAUUAAAAUCUUCGCUCUCAUUUUACCAAAUACCACUCACUUCUUAGAGGCUUUUUUCAAUAUUUCACAUGUAUCACCCUUGACUAAGACACACAUUAGAAAUAGUAACCAUCAGGCUUCAACCACCCUUAACCAUCUUUUUCUUGAGGCAUGGACGUGUCCCAUGCAUGCACCCCGUUCUCCCACGAGCCUCCCUUUCUUGGGCUGUGCAGGCAGUCCGAGUUCAAACAUUGGGACCAGGCAUUCAAAAUACGAGAAAUCAGACAUAAUUAGUAGAUCAGGAAAGGGAAGUACAUGUACUGAGGGAGAUCAGGGCAGUUCAUUGCUACCUAAAAAUCCAGGAGAUCUUGGGAAUGUUCUGUCAGAAAACAGGAAAUGUGCAUUUUCUCUUGGACUCUGUCAUUUCAAAUUUCUCCAUCAUCUCUGCCAUCUGUAAAAUGCUGACGUUUCCAACCCCCCUCCAUCUGUAUCUCAGGCAACACUCAGAAUGGCUCCAAUUAAUUAUAGAUGCGUGCUCUAAAUUCCUUUGGUGAUGAGCCACAGCACUGCAGGACACCGGAUCACCGGGUUUUGCUUAUUUCAAAGGCGUGUGACAUCCCCUCCCCUCCUUCUAGCUCCCGUAAGUGCUUUCAAAGUGCAGCCUGAGGCGACAACAAUGACCAAGCAACUGUAAAUCUCGAUACACCCAGACGGGAGCCUACCUCUUGAUC